AUUGCCUCAGUAACGGCGAGUGAAGCGGCAUCAGCUCAAAUUUGUAAUCUGGCCUCUUUGGGGUCCGAGUUGUAAUUUGUAGAGGAUGUUUCGGGUACCGCCUCGGCCUAAAUUUCUUGGAACAGAAUGUCAAAGAGGGUGAGAAUCCCGUCUUGGACCGGCGGUAGGGCCCAUGUGAAACUCCUUCGACGAGUCGAGUUGUUUGGGAAUGCAGCUCAAAAUGGGUGGUAAAUUUCAUCUAAAGCUAAAUACCUGCCAGAGACCGAUAGCGCACAAGUAGAGUGAUCGAAAGAUGAAAAGCACUUUGAAAAGAGAGUUAAACAGUAUGUGAAAUUGUUGAAAGGGAAGCGCUUACAACCAGACUUGAGCGCGGCGGUUCCCCCUUCCUUCUGGUUGGGUUAUUCCGUCGUGUCCAGACCAACAUCGGUUCUGGGGGCCGGUCAAAGGCUCUGGGAAUGUACCUACGUCUUCGGAUGUAGACUUAUAGCCCAGGGUGUCAUGCGGCCUCCCGGGACCGAGGAACGCGCUUCGGCACGGAUGUUGGUGCAAUGGUUGUCAGCGACCCGUCUUGAAACACGGACCAAGGAGUCUAACAUCUAUGCGAGUGUUUGGGUGUCAAACCCGGAACGCGGAAUGAAAGUGAACGGAGGUAGGAAGCCUUAAGGCUGCACUAUCGACCGAUCCUGAUGUCUUCGGAUGGAUUUGAGUAAGAGCAUAGCUGUUGGGACCCGAAAGAUGGUGAACUAUGCCUGAAUAGGGUGAAGCCAGAGGAAACUCUGGUGGAGGCUCGCAGCGGUUCUGACGUGCAAAUCGAUCGUCAAAUUUAGGUAUAGGGGCG
rnacentral:misc_RNA from 1 species